rnacentral:rRNA from 1 species
UACGUAGGUCCCAAGCGUUGUCCGGAUUUAUUGGGCGUAAAGCGAGCGCAGGUGGUUUAUUAAGUCUGGUGUAAAAGGCAGUGGCUUAACCAUUGUAUGCAUUGGAAACUGGUAGACUUGAGUGCAGGAGAGGAGAGUGGAAUUCCAUGUGUAGCGGUGAAAUGCGUAGAUAUAUGGAGGAACACCGGUGGCGAAAGCGGCUCUCUGGCCUGUAACUGACACUGAGGCACGAAAGCGUGGGGAGCAAACAGG